GGCAGUAGUAGCUCAGUGGUUAAGAUGGUGGACUUCAACUCAGAAGGUGUGAGUUCAAAUCCCAGCUCUGCCA